AUUGGAGGGCAGUCUGGUGCCAGCAGCCGCGGUAAUUCCAGCUCCAAUAGCGUAUAUUUAAGUUGUUGCAGUUAAAAAGCUCGUAGUUGGACUUUGGGUUGGGUCGGCCGGUCCGCCUCUGGUGUGCACCGGUUGUCUCGUCCCUUCUGCCGGCGAUGCGCUCCUGGUCUUAACUGGCCGGGUCGUGCCUCCGGCGCUGUUACUUUGAAGAAAUUAGAGUGCUCAAAGCAAGCCUACUGUCACGGCCCGCUAGUUUUGACCCAACCCCUUGCCGAUUUCCCUUGGGUUGGGGAGGUUACAAAGAGUCCAAGUUGUAGCCCAAGUAGGGUUAGGCCCAAGUUGGCCCAAUUGUAUAGUGGUAGGUAGAGCUAUUUUUGGUAGGUAGGGUAGGUGGUGGUAGGUAGAGACAAUCAAGGGAUUGCUCCACUCCCAUCCGUUAGAUCAUAU
rnacentral:ncRNA from 1 species